rnacentral:rRNA from 1 species
UACGUAGGGUCCGAGCGUUGUCCGGAAUUACUGGGCGUAAAGAGCUCGUAGGUGGUUUGUCGCGUUGUUCGUGAAAACUCACAGCUCAACUGUGGGGCGUGCGGGCGAUACGGGGCAGACUGGAGUACUGCAGGGGGAGACUGGAAUUCCUGGUGUAGCGGUGGAAUGCGCAGAUAUCAGGAGGAACACCGAUGGCGAAGGCAGGUCUCUGGGC